GACGAACGCUGGCGGCGUGCUUAACACAUGCAAGUCGAACGGAAAGGCCCUGCUUUUGUGGGGUGCUCGAGUGGCGAACGGGUGAGUAACACGUGAGUAACCUGCCCUUGACUUUGGGAUAACUUCAGGAAACUGGGGCUAAUACCGGAUAGGAGCUCCUGCUGCAUGGUGGGGGUUGGAAAGUUUCGGCGGUUGGGGAUGGACUCGCGGCUUAUCAGCUUGUUGGUGGGGUAGUGGCUUACCAAGGCUUUGACGGGUAGCCGGCCUGAGAGGGUGACCGGCCACAUUGGGACUGAGAUACGGCCCAGACUCCUACGGGAGGCAGCAGUGGGGAACAUUGCACAAUGGGCGGAAGCCUGAUGCAGAAAUGCCGCGUGCGGGAUGACGGCCUUCGGGUUGUAAACCGCUUUCGCCUGUGACGAAGCGUGAGUGACGGUAAUGGGUAAAGAAGCACCGGCUAACUACGUG
rnacentral:rRNA from 1 species